GCUGAGGGUGGUGAUGUGCACCUGAAGUCCCAGCUACUCAGGAGGCUGAGGCAGGAGGAUCUCUUGGGACCAGGAAUUCAAGUGCCCCCUGGGCAACAUAGCAAGACCCCGCCUCCA
rnacentral:sRNA from 1 species